rnacentral:rRNA from 1 species
UACGGAGGGUGCAAGCGUUAUCCGGAUUCACUGGGCUUAAAGGGUGCGUAGGAGGGCAGGUAAGUCAGUGGUGAAAUCUCCAAGCUUAACUUGGAAACUGCCAUUGAUACUAUUUGUCUUGAAUAUUGUGGAGGUCAGCGGAAUAUGUCAUGUAGCGGUGAAAUGCUUAGAUAUGACAUAGAACACCAAUUGCGAAGGCAGCUGGCUACACAUAUAUUGACACUGAUGCACGAAAGCGUGGGGAUCAAACAGG